GGCAGAUGAAAGCCUAAAGUGGUCUCUGAAGUGAACCGCCUAUUCACGCUUUGUGUACAAAUGCAAACUAAUUGAGUAGCUGUGACGAUCCAGCCUCUUUAGACAGGCUAUCAUAAGAUUCAGUCCCGCAGCGUUCAUCUCCCAACCACGGUGUUCACCUAACAGACAUCCAUGCUAAAUUAAGUAUUAUAUUAAUGAAGAUUCGACUGUCAUGCCGGCUACGAGUCGAACAAACACUAUGAGCUUCAGUUCUUGCAAUCCCCUUGACAUGCUGGUUGAGACAUGUAAAAACAUAGGCAAAGGAGAACCCUCCACAACUUCGAGUCACGGUCAUGGAUUUAUUGCGCCUCUACGAUCCCAACCAGAUUCUCAUCAACGGCUACUUCAAAUGGCUUCAUCAACAUCAACACUGCCUAGACUGGCCACGGCCUUGAUUUCACCGUUACGGCAAUCGACGCCUCAAUCGUCUGCUCAUACGUCAAUGUGUUCGCAAUACAAUCUUCCCCCAACUCCUCCCGCUGAAGGUUCAACAACGAGACCUGAGUUUUUUCGUAGAUGUAGAUCUUCCUGUUCUUGUGGAACUUCGAACUCAAUGUUCACUACUCCAUACUAUACACAUCUUCGACCAUCGGAAAUGCCUCUGUAUUUACCACUAAGUACGAUGCCAUGCAGCUUCCCAGCACCGAGCUUAAAUGAAAUGGCAUCGAUGGACGCUCUUCAAAGUCAUUCAAGUCGAUGUGCUUCGAUCUCUUGUUGUAGGCAUUACCCUGCAGUACCAUCGCAAGCGUCUCCUACUGCGACAAAUGCCAGCUUACAACCACUGUCGUCACCCAUUUCAUUAAUGGACUAUUCUGCUUAUCCAUCGCACUCAAUAGCAACAGGAACAUCUUCUGCCUAUAUUACUGGCGUACACGACCUGGUGCCACACGUUGGCUAUGGUUCUCCGAUGCCAUACCAUCAAUCGCCAACCGCAAUGCUGUCAAAACUUGCAGCACGGCGAUGCCGACGAUGCCAAUGUCCGAACUGUCAGAAACCUACAGAUCCAGCAGAUAAAAACAAGAAAAAGCAACACAUUUGUCACAUACAGGGGUGCGGCAAAGUUUACGGAAAAACAUCUCAUCUAAAAGCGCAUCUCAGGUGGCAUUCUGGCGAGCGACCAUUCGUUUGCCAUUGGUUGUUUUGUGGCAAAAGUUUUACACGUUCGGACGAGUUACAGCGCCAUCUUCGGACACAUACUGGAGAAAAGAAAUUCGUGUGUUCAGAGUGCAACAAACGUUUUAUGAGGAGUGACCAUCUCGCUAAACACACCAAGACACACGUAAUAACACGAAAGAAAUUGACAAAGGAUUCUUAAUCUAAUGACUAAUUGCGUUUGGAGCAUUCUAUUGUAUUUGCGAUGCAACUUUAAAAUGUUGAAAUUUCAUAGCUAUAUAUACACAAAUAUUUUAGUCUCCAAAUUUAAUGGAUAUUUUAGAAUUUAUUCAGUGUUCAACAUAUACUGUCACCCAGAACAAGAACUCAAGUAUUAAAAUGAUUAAUAGACGUUUUAAAUACGGAAAUCCUUGACGUUUUUGCCAGAAAUUGACGGGCACGUUCAUGCCUAUAAGAACGGUGUUAUUAAAUAUCCAUUAUUUGGCAAAGGGCUUUUUUUUUCUCAUUCUAUUUUUCAGAUGGGAGCAAAUACUAUAACUUUUUUUUAAAGUUUAUGAAGUCUAUAUUUGAAUUACGUGGUAGUAUAUACCUUUUAUGAUAAACGUAAAUUUGUUGUUAUGGAAAUUACAUUAUUUAAUCUUUUAUUUUAAACAUUUUUAAAGAGCUUUUUGUAAGGAACACCAUUAGUGUAUGUAUGUAUCCAUCGAUACUAUAGAGUGUAAUGGAUAUUUACAUCAUACGUUGGUGUUUUUUUUCUGUUUUGAAGACAUUUUAUUAAUACUUUCCAAUAAAAUAUCCAAAUUUUUUUAUCAGCUGGCCUUCAUAUACUGUACUGUAUUAAAAACAACUUCAUUGAUGGGAACCCAAUUGGAAAUCGGCCGGACUCACUAGCCUAACGGAUGUUCCUGAUCCUCAUACUAUUUAUUUUCGUUCACAGUCAUUUUUAUUGCUGCAUAUGAUAUGUCGAGCAUCAAAUAAAUAUAUUCAGCCAAUCAAUUGAUCGAUCAAUGAAUCAGUCGAUCAAUAGGAAACAAGAUUUUUAUAUAGGCCUAGUUCGUAAAGAUGUGUCGCGAAUCUGUGAUGUACUUGACGCUUAUCGUCUCGUAUACUGAAUGCUUAAUGUAGCCAAAAUUUUGUUUGUUUGGUUUAAUCAUCAACCCAAUUUAAGGUUUUCCUUUUGUUUAUCUGUACUUGGAUAUUCCUAUUUAUAUUAUCGAAAUUAUAAUGUAAAAUAUAAAAUAUUGUGGAACGCCCCCAUUGUAUUGUUUCUGUUUAAUAAAUGAGUUUUUAAAGAUUAUUAGGUAUUUUGAUGCCAUUUACAAUAAAGAUAUUUGUGAUAUGGAUCUAAAGUUCGAAUUCCAAUACUUUAAUUACAUACAAUCAUAUUUACAGUGUUUGUUUAACGUUAACAUUAUAUUUAAAAAAAAGUAUGAUAUACAGUAUAUUGAUUGAUAUCAAAUUGCAUCUAAGAAUAUAAUUAUAUACAAUUACUGAGCAAAAUCAACGAUUUUUUAUAUUCCAUUGUGUUUCAGUUUGUUGAUGUUCAGUAUUUCAAAAGGGAGGUUUUGUGCACUUUUAUGAAUAUCGUUCCGCAAUACAUUUUAAUAUAUUUGAGCCGAUCAUCAUGCAUAUAAGUCACGGUGUACGUUCCUUUUUUUGACGAAAAUUAUCGGUUAUAUCACAGAUCCUAUAUAGGCCUACAGAUGUAUAUAGGAUCUGUGGUUAUAUGUUUGUUGGAAAAGUAAUGGACAUCAUUUUACACUUUGCAUAAUUAACCUUUACGGAAUAUCAAUCAAUUUAAUAGCUAACCAACCAGAACACCACAAUGAAUACGCGCUUGCACGAGUUUACGUACGUUUACGCUAUCUUUUUGAGGGACUAUAUCUAAUGGGCGGAGCUUAGCGGAAAGAUCCAUUACCAACUUACAAGAGUAAAUAUAAAAGAGAAAUUGAAAAUUCUACGUCGUUCAAAACACUCGGGGCGCAGGGCCUAUUUUCUACGCACUCACUUUGCGUAUUUAUCAAAUGCGAAACAUAUUGUUUUUUUUUGUGCUAGAAUAUAUAUAUUUAAAACAAAGCUGUGGUGUAUCGGCAUCGUGUUCGUUAAGUGUUCCGAACUCUCCCUAAAUUUUAUGAAAAUAAUAUUAUUUAAGAAAUAUAUUUAUAUGCAUAAACUUUGAACAAUUGUUAAUAUUUUUUAAAGUGUUGUUAUACGUUUGUUUCCUGUUAAAUGAUCCAAAUAAAAUUGUGAGAGAGAUAAAAACUA
rnacentral:misc_RNA from 1 species